AACAUUACCUGGCAGGGGAGAUACCAUGAUCAUGAAGUUGGUUUUCUCAGGGACAGGCUUAUCAAUUAAACUCCAGAUGCACUGAUCCCGGCAAUUUGCCCAAGUGUUGGAAACUUCACUGCAUAAUUUGUGAUAAUAGGAUACUGGGUUCACACUCUCCUC